rnacentral:rRNA from 1 species
CCCUUAGAUGUUCUGGGCCGCACGCGCGCUACACUGAUGCAUUCAACGAGCCUAUCCUUGACCGACAGGUCCGGGUAAUCUUUGAAUCUGCAUCGUGACGGGGAUAGAUUAUUGCAAUUAUUAAUCUUCAACGAGGAAUGCCUAGUAGGCGCAAGUCAUCAGCUCGCGUUGAUUACGUCCCUGCCCUUUGUACACACCGCCCGUCGCUGCCCGGAACUGAGCCGUUUCGAGAAGACUGAGGAUUGCUGACUUGAGGCCUUCACGGGCUUCUAGUCGGUGAAAAUCAAUUUAAUCGCAGCGGCUUGAACCGGGCAAAAGUCGUAACA